UACUAGACCUAAACCUAACCUUUUCAAAAUAGAAAGUAGAAACACAGAAGAUAGAAACAAAAGACCAUCCCUUGCUUUUUGCCUUGCUAGCCUGCUGCGUUAUUGUUGUCCGUGAAAUCUUCCACUCUAACUCUGAAUCUGAUUCUAUUUCAGGUUUGACUCUUAUGUCUUUCUCUUCUUUCUUUUUUUUUUUCUUAAUUUAUAAUCUAAAUUUUAUUGUUAGAGUCUUUAGAGAUUGAAAAUUUACUAAAUAUUUCUAAAUCUCUUAAAGAAUUUACAACUAGAAUAAAAUAACUGACACUUAGAUGACCCGAUUCAUCAUUCCUGAACAUAUUUUUGUUCUUUAAAAAAGAAAAUAAGGAAAAAUUUGGUGGAUGUGUAUACGAAUUUGGGACAUAGUUUAAAUUUUCAGAUUUUGAUUUUCAUCAUUCAUUAUAUUAUAAAGGCAUUUCACAUGGCACGCGUUGGAUACAGUAGAAGUUAAUUAUGGACUUCUUCUAUGAUGAUAACUCUCUGAAAGGAUACUGAUUAGGAACUAUUUAAUUUAUAAAUGUUUCCUUCAUGAUGCCUAAACUCAUAUUUAAGAAGAAAACUUGUAUAUUGCUCUUGGAUCGUGUUGAUGUGUUUUAUAAGAUUAUUGAUUGGCCACUUCAAGAACUUAACGGCCGUUUCAAUGAGGUGACAAGUGAUUUGUUUCAUGGAUUGAUUCAUUUUCUAGUUUUGACAUCAGGAAGAUAGUGAGAAUGGUUAAAUUAUAUCCUGAUAACUUUGAUGAAUUUAAUUUGGGUGUCCUUGAGAAUCAACUUGAUAAUUAUAUUAUUGAUGUACGUGAUAUUGAUCAAAGGUUCUCCAAUUGAGGUGGACUUGGUGAACUUUCAAAUAAACUAGUUGAGACUGGCUUAGUGAAACUUGCUUUGCUUUUGCCAGUUGCCACUGCAACCGUUGAAAGAACUUUUUUCUGCAAUGAAGUUUAUCAAGAAUGACUUGCGAAAUCGAAUGGAUGAUGAAUUUUUGGACGGUUGCAUAGUGCCUUAUGUAGAAAAAAAAAGUAUUUCGUACUAUUUCUAAUGAGGUUAUUAUAAAAAUAUUUCAAUAGAUGAGACCUCGUCGAGUAUAAUUAUAAUAAUAUAUUUAAAUUGUGCUUUUAAUAGUAAUAUUAUUUUGUUGAUUCCUUUAUAUUGAUUUUGAUUUAUACAAUAGUUAAUUCCGUUAAAUUAUUUUUAUGAUUUAGCUAAAUAUUGUGUAUUUUAUUAUAAAACAAUUCGGUGCACCCAUUCAUAAAAAAUUAUUUACUUAUCCAAAGGUUGAACACCCUUCGUGAAAUUCCUGGCUACGCCACUGAAUCUAGCAUCACUCCCAUAUUAUAUCGGUGUGGGAGUGACCUAGAAUAUCACACGAAAACUCCAAAGAAUCUCAUCCAAAAAGGUGAUGUAUUAUAUAUUAGAUACCAAUUUCAUAAAAAAUAUAUAUUAUAUGAUACGUUGUAUACCAUAUUUAUUAGUAGCAUGCAUCAUAUAAACUAAAGUGAUAUUAUACAAUGAAGGUAUAUUGUAUAAUAUACUAUACCAAUAUCAUAUAAGUUUGUAUUAUAUAAUAUACUAUAUACGAUAUUUAUUAACAAUAUGCAUCAUAUUUUUCUUCUCAAUGUACACAUCAGAUAACUAAAAGUGUAUGUUAUAUUGUAUACUUAUGUACCAUUUUCACAUUAGUUUAUACUAUAUAAUCAGAAAGAUAUAUCAUUAGGUGAGAGAGAAUCUCAAGGAGAGAUUUUAGGAAUUAAAAAGUUGUACAUAAUUUAAUUAAAAAAGUAAGAUUUUAAAAUAAAUUGUACUAAAAGUAAUUUUGUUAAAACAGUUGUAAAAAAUAUAAAUAAGUCUUUAAAAUGGAAUAUUGAAGAGUGGUAGCUACUGCCAUUGUGUCAUUUUUUUUAAAUAAAUUGUUCCAAUUACUGGGUUGUAUUCAUCAAAAAAGUCAAACCAACAAUAAAAGAGAGGUGGAUGUACACAUCCUUACCUCAGCUGCCACUGCCAUUGUGUCAUAAAGAUUCAAGAAGAAACAAAUAAAUAGAGAUGGUCACUUUGGUCUCCAAUUGGCCAUUACUAGAUAACCCGGUGCGGCCAAGUAUUUACCUACUAUAUCAUAAAAUUAGCUACAUGAAUUUGGAAGUAUCCAGUGAUAGGUUUAACUUUAAGUUUCAAUGAUAGCAAUAUUAUCUUAUGUUAUAUUUGCAGGACUAACAAAAAGGAAAGAAUGGAGAUGCUCAGCAAGAUGCGAUUGCUACAGGAUUCGAAAUAGCAAAUAAUGAUCAAUCAGGAUUCGAAUGAAGAUGUUGUUGCUACAUCAAUGGUCAAUCAAGAGAAGCAAAUUUAUUCGUCCUCAAUCAAAGGAACUCAGAUUGCCAAUCAUGGAUACUCAAAUCAAGAAGUUCGCCAGCAAUUAUUCUGUGUCCAGAAUUAAGCUCACUCCAGGCGUAAAUGGCUCCUUAAUUCAAGCUAUGACAAGGAAAAUCACAAUCGAAUCUGGACUCUUCAAAGAGCAGGAUUCGAAGAGGCACCCCUUGGGUCAAAACUCUUUUGCAAAGAUCUCGUGCCUCUGAUUUCGCUGAAGACUCAACGACUCUUUUCUCUCCUAUAAGAAGGCUGAUACUUUCAAGAAGAAGACUUGCGCAACUACAUACAUUGUAUUCUAAGUCCGUCUACUUCUUAGUUCAAACAUUGUAAUCUUUAGUUAUCAGUGUCUCAAAAGAUAGAAAGAUCUAGAACACAAAAGAGAGUUGUGUCAAUUACUUAGAACUCAAGGUGUGAUAUUGUUUGUUAGUGGUGAACGCGUUAAAACCAUAUGUGUUGUAACAUUUUCAAAGAUCUUAAGGGAACCCUUGUGACCCAAGGAAAAUUGGAU
rnacentral:lncRNA from 1 species